rnacentral:rRNA from 1 species
GACAGAGGGUGCAAACGUUGCUCGGAAUUACUGGGCGUAAAGCGCGUGUAGGCUGACCGGAAAGUCGGGCGUGAAAUCCCUGGGCUCAACCCAGGAACUGCACUCGAAACUCCCGGUCUUGAGUGGUGGAGAGGGAAGUGGAAUUCCUGGUGUAGAGGUGAAAUUCGUAGAUAUCAGGAGGAACACCAGUGGCGAAGGCGGCUUCCUGGACACCAACUGACGCUGAGACGCGAAAGCGUGGGGAGCAAACGGG